rnacentral:lncRNA from 1 species
AGGUGUGUGUUCAGGCCGUGUGACUCAUUGUUUGUAAUUAGAGAGCACACAGGCUAAAGACACAGGCGUGUGUCCAGACCGUGUGACUCACUGUUUGUGAUUAGAGGGUACACGGGUCAGAGACACGGGCGUAUACCUAGGCUGUGUGACUCAUUGUUUGUGAUUUAGGACCACAUGGGCAGACAACACGGGCAUGUGUCAGGCUGUGUAAGACACACAGCUGGGCACACGGACGUGUGGGUCAAGCUUGGAAUUAUUU